GGCCAUAAGGGAGCCUCGUGUUGUUCAGAAAGACAACCAAGGUUGGCAUCUUUUUAAUUCUUAUCGUUGGUGCAAGUAAGGUCAGAAGGAUGCUAAGGGAAAUACAAAUCCAAGGCAAGCAUGUGGAAAGCGCGUCAUAUGAUGUGAAAUCUGUUAUCAUGAAAAAGAGGGAAGGGCACAACCAUGAAGUUCGAGCAGC